UACGGAGGGUGCGAGCGUUGUCCGGAAUCACUGGGCGUAAAGGGCGCGUAGGCGGCCUGGUAAGUAGGAGGUGAAAUCCUGCGGCUUAACCGCAGGGCUGCCUUCUAAACUGUCAGGCUCGAGCACAGUAGAGGCAGGUGGAAUUCCCGGUGUAGCGGUGGAAUGCGUAGAGAUCGGGAAGAACAUCAGUGGCGAAGGCGGCUCACUGGCCCGUUACUGACGCUGAGACGCGAAAGCGUGGGGAGCAAACAGG
rnacentral:rRNA from 1 species